GGUUAAGCGAAUAAGCGUACACGGUGGAUGCCUAGGCAAUCAGAGGCGAUGAAGGACGUGCUAAUCUGCGAAAAGCGUCGGUAAGGUGAUAUGAACCGUUAUACCCGACGAUAUCCGAAUGGGGAAACCCAGUAUCCAAUGGAUACUAUCAUUAACUGAAUCCAUAGGUUAAUGAGGCGAACCGGGAGAACUGAAACAUCUCAGUACCCCGAGGAAAAGAAAUCAACCGAGAUUCCCCUAGUAGCGGCGAGCGAACGGGGAGAAGCCCAGAGUCUUAAUCAAUAACAGUGUCAGGAGAACGGUCUGGAAAGUCCGGCAGUAAAGGGUGAUAGCCCCGUAUCUGAAGAUGCUGUUAUUGUGAACUCGACGAGUAGGGCGGGACACGUGUUAUCCUGUCUGAAUAUGGGGGGACCAUCCUCCAAGGCUAAAUACUCCUGAUUGACCGAUAGUGAACCAGUACCGUGAGGGAAAGGCGAAAAGAACCCCGGCGAGGGGAGUGAAAAAGAACCUGAAACCGUGUACGUACAAGCAGUAGGAGCC
rnacentral:rRNA from 1 species